rnacentral:misc_RNA from 1 species
AAGUCGUAACAAGGUUUCCGUAGGUGAACCUGCGGAAGGAUCAUUACCGAUUUUUAGCGGACCUGGUCUUUGAUCAUGGUCUCGCGAAAACUUGUAUUUAAAACCCCACUCUUAUAAAUUUGAAUCAUUUUAUUAUAUGUAUAAUAAAUAAAGAUCACUUUCAACAACGGAUCUCUUGGCUCCA